UUAUUUACUACUUAGUUGGAGAGUUAGGAAAUUGAAGUAAGGUGGCUGGAAAGUGACAACCUCCUUAGGGACUGUGUAGACUGUCAUUUGAGGUGACUAUCUAGUCUUUUAGGGGCUGAGUCAGAGACCAAGCUAGGGGCCAGAUAGAGGCAAAGGUGGGGAAGCUGACUAGGGAGGAGCUUAGCCAUAUAGAGCUAACUCUUCCCCGGCUUCAGUUGGAAAGGAAAGGAAAG
rnacentral:lncRNA from 1 species